rnacentral:rRNA from 1 species
GCUUAGUACGGCGAGUGAAGCGGCAAAAGCUCAAAUUUGAAAUCUAGCACUUUCAGUGUUCGAGUUGUAAUUUGAAGAAGGUAACUUUGGAAUUGGCUCUUGUCUAUGUUCCUUGGAACAGGACGUCACAGAGGGUGAGAAUCCCGUGCGAUGAGAUGUCCAAUUCUAUGUAAAGUGCUUUCGAAGAGUCGAGUUGUUUGGGAAUGCAGCUCUAAGUGGGUGGUAAAUUCCAUCUAAAGCUAAAUAUUGGCGAGAGACCGAUAGCGAACAAGUACAGUGAUGGAAAGAUGAAAAGAACUUUGAAAAGAGAGUGAAAAAGUACGUGAAAUUGUUGAAAGGGAAGGGCUUGAGAUCAGACUUGGUAUUUUGUGUUCCUUAUUCUUUUUGGAUUUGGUUCCUCACAGCUUACCGGGCCAGCAUCGGUUUGGAUGGUAGGAUAAUGACAUUGGAAUGUAGCUUUGCUUCGGUGAAGUGUUAUAGACUUUGUUGAUACUGCCUAUCUAGACCGAGGACUGCGUCUUUGACUAGGAUGCUGGCGUAAUGAUCUUAAGCCGCCCGUCUUGAAACACGGACC